rnacentral:rRNA from 1 species
UGGGGAAUAUUGCACAAUGGGCGCAAGCCUGAUGCAGCCAUGCCGCGUGUGUGAAGAAGGCCUUCGGGUUGUAAAGCACUUUCAGCGAGGAGGAAGGCAGUCGUGUUAAUAGCACGGUUGAUUGACGUUACUCGCAGAAGAAGCACCGGCUAACUCCGUGCCAGCAGCCGCGGUAAUACGGAGGGUGCAAGCGUUAAUCGGAAUUACUGGGCGUAAAGCGCACGCAGGCGGUUUGUUAAGUCAGAUGUGAAAUCCCCGCGCUUAACGUGGGAACUGCAUUCGAAACUGGCAAGCUAGAGUCUUGUAGAGGGGGGUAGAAUUCCAGGUGUAGCGGUGAAAUGCGUAGAGAUCUGGAGGAAUACCGGUGGCGAAGGCGGCCCCCUGGACAAAAGACUGACGCUCAGGUGCGAAAGCGUGGGGAGCAAACAGGAUUAAAUACCCUGGUAGUCCACGCUGUAAACGAUGUCGACUUGGAGGUUGUGCCCUUGAGGCGUGGCUUCCGGAGCUAACGCGUUAAGUCGACCGCCUGGGGGAGUACGGCCGCAAGGUU